rnacentral:rRNA from 1 species
CCCGGGCCUUGUACACACCGCCCGUCAAACCAUGGGAGUUGGUUCUACCCGAAGGUGGUGCGCUAACCCGCAAGGGAGGCAGCCAACCACGGUAGGGUCAGCGACUGGGGUG